CUCUACAAACGAAUCACCGGCAGCAUUUGCUAGGCUUUAACAUUGGGCAACGUCGAUUUUUCGAAACUGUCCGCACUGUCCAAAUAUUUGUUCGUUAACUUUAAUCCUCGAGCAUCUAUUGACUGUACUAAGUCAACACUUGUGCCGUCAGCAACGUGUUGCACUAUCGGAGACUCUAUCGGAGACAGAGACGCUCUUCCGUAAAUACGUAACCUGCGUCAUCAAUGGCCCACGAUCGUCUUACGCCAUCGGUUAUCGUACUGGCUUAUCCAGAUACGUGAAAAUGGAUUCCGGGCAGAACUCGUCGGGCCCGGUCCAAACCGGGUUAGAAUCGCCGGACAAAUGUAAUCAGACCGGCAAUUACCGGAUGGACGAUAUUUCAGAUAGAGCAACUUGUUCCUCGAAGCGGGAUCGAAUCACGGUCCACCUCUGCUAGUUUAUAAACUCUCUAUAAUCGGCAACUGAGCGCAGCUGCGAAGAAAAUCGUGCAACAAAAGAUCACAGUCGCGCGCCCACGUGGGCGAGACACCUAAUUCUUAACCAAGUUUCGAAACUACGCUAAGACUUCGCUAAGAUUUAUCGAAACACGUCACCGCGAUCUUUCGGAUGCGAAACUUUCAGCUUCGUAGCUUUCGAUCACUAAUUAAUCGAAUCGUGGCAAUUUUUCAGAGUCGACGAACGACGCUCGCCGCGUUCAAGAAUGCAUAGAAGCGGUUGCUCCCGAGAUUUCGCGAAGCUGCACCCCGAGCAUCCCCCGAGAGGCCGGUCUGCGGUCGAAUCUCCGAUCUCGGUUGCAUUCACCGCGUCCACCACGAGGAAUCGUCGCCGACGGAAGCCCGAGGGAUUUUCCAAGAAAACCACGCGGUCCCACGAUCCGUCGUUAUCUACGCGGCGCAUCGGAAUCUUCGAGACAGCCCUGUCGGGCCAGCCGGUAUUGAUAUUCCCCUCGUGUUCCCAACCGAUCGGAGGCUGAAAAGUGGAACAAUCGAUUCCAAGUAAACAUCAGCGACAAGCUGGCCGCGGGAUCGACACCACACGAAGAGAGGAAGAAGAUUGGUGGGCAGCGUUGUUUACCGCGGCGCAUCGCGAGGCCGGAGAAGAGAGGAUCGUCGUCGCCCACGGGCAUUUGUUAGUUCGACGACAGAUAAAACGCACAAAAUCGCGCCACGAAGCAGACUGGACCAGACAACUCGCCGCGUCGAGACGAAGAAAAGCGAGCCACGGGUCCACGGAUUCCAGAACGAAACCGUAGCCGACCGACGUUGGGUACCAACACAAAGACGAGGUUUGAAAGCGACCAACAAAAAUUGCCUCGCAAGAAUUACAAGAUUAUAUAAUCUUAUAAUUUUAUAUGAUCAUAGUCUUUAAUUUUAAUAAUUUUAUACAAU